rnacentral:pre_miRNA from 1 species
UAACUACUCGUUCCAUCCAACAAAAGAUGUCUCUCAAGUUUGUCAAAAUUUGGAUGUAUCUAGACAUGACUUAGUGUAUAGGUGCAUUCAAAUUUAGUCAAAAUUGAGACAUCCUUUGUUAGACAGAGGGAGUAUAGA